rnacentral:misc_RNA from 1 species
CCUCGCAUUCCUCUUCAGUCGUUGGCGCAAGAGCAAUGUCAYCGGCCUUGGCCGCCCACGGGUUUCCUGUGUUGCAUACCUACCGGAAGGAAUUCGGUCGUCCCAACGCUCGACGUUCUCCCGGCGCCGUCCGUCCCUCGGGGGCACGGCGUGGGGUGAACCGCGAAGGCGAGUUCGUGUUCCGAGCCGCAGCCAAGGGGCGCGUCCCGGCGCACGAUCCUCCGCCUGAGCUCUCGGAUGCGGAACACCAGGAGGGCAGGAGGUGCUCGGCCUCCGGUUGCCCGAACCCGGCGUCAAUCGCCCGCAUUGAACGACUGCCGUCGUCGCCUCGAGAUGUCGCGGCCCUCGGGCCCGUCGGCCUCUCGUGCGACGCCGGUGUCGGCGA